GGACUUGGAAGAUAGUGAAAAAUGGAUGGAGGAGGCGGCAAAGGAAGAAGAGCCAGUUGCUCAGCUAAAGGAAUAGAUGAAGGACAAGUCUGACAAGGACUUGGAAGAUAGUCAUCAGAAGAAAGGGAUGGAGGAGAAGGAAGGAAGAAGAGCCAGUUGCUCAGCUGAAGGAAGAGAGAACGGCCAAAUGGAAAUCAAGUGCCAAGAAGACCUCAGCCGAAUGUGAC